AUGACUGCUCCACCUCAACUGGCCGCAGUGCUCCGGGGCAGCUCCCGUCGCGUCCUCGCCUACCCUGCCCUCCGCGCCGCCGUGAUCUACUGCACCGUUGCGCUCCCUGACGUGCCCGCGGCCGUGGGCCCCCAGCCGCCGCCGCCGUUCGUGGGCCUCCGGGCGAGGUCCAUGGCCACCUUCAUCCGCACGAAGCCCCACGUCAACGUCGGCACCAUUAGGCACUUCGACCACGGCAAGACCUGCUCUGCUUCCCUCACCACUGCCAUCACCAAGGUACUGGUGGAGGCCGGGAGCGCCAAGGCGGUGGCGUUCGACGAGGUCAACCUUAAUGCUUGCUGCUGA
rnacentral:rRNA from 1 species